rnacentral:rRNA from 1 species
UUCGAAGGGGGCUAUCGUUGUUCGGAAUUACUGGGCGUAAAGCGCGUGUAGGCGGGCCGUUAAGUCGGGGGUGAAAGCCCAGAGCUCAACUCUGGAAUUGCCUUCGAUACUGGCGGCCUGGAGCAUGAUAGAGGCGAGUGGAAUUGCGAGUGUAGAGGUGAAAUUCGUAGAUAUUCGCAGGAACACCAGUGGCGAAGGCGACUCGCUGGAUCAUUGCUGACGCUGAGACGCGAAAGCGUGGGGAGAAAACAGG